UGGCAAGCGUUAUCCGGAUUUAUUGGGCGUAAAGGGAACGCAGGCGGUCUUUUAAGUCUGAUGUGAAAGCCUUCGGCUUAACCUAGGAAUUGCAUCGGAAACUGGGUUUCUUGAGUGCAGAAGAGGAGAGUGGAACUCCAUGUGUAGCGGUGGAAUGCGUAGAUAUAUGGAAGAACACCAGUGGCGAAGGCGGCUCUCUGGUCUGUAACUGACGCUGAGGCUCGAAAGCAUGGGUAGCGAACA
rnacentral:rRNA from 1 species